CACGGAAGGAAGUAGAAGUCGCAGCCCGUGGAAGAGGGAAGGAACUCCUCUUCCUCAGAGCUGGCCGAGUGGUCUGGGGCAUCCGGGCACUGUUACCAGGACAAAGGCAUCGAUCUCGGCUGAGAGAACGCUGAGAUGUAUUGACAGAGAGGUUUGCAUCGAUCCAGCAGGAAGUAAGCGGUGUGUGGUCACCUGCCCGGGAAUGAGACCCACUCCGUACGAGAGACGAGGGGGCUACAGACGACGGGGAGGCUCGGGGCUCCGAGGCUGCAGGACCCCCGGCCUGGGGUCACCG
rnacentral:lncRNA from 1 species